CGCCCACAGAGAGAGGGGUUUCCAGGCUUUUCGUCUUUGCAGCCAAACCCACUACCAGCCCGCUGUCGGUGACCAAAUGUAUGAAGGUCAUCACACGGACCAAGAGGAGCAGACCAGGAUCCAAGGGCCUGUGGCUGCAGAACCAUUCCACCACCAGAAAUAUAAUUGCCCUGGAUGCUUUCUUCCAUUUUCCUAAAGUAUUUUUCUCCAAAGGUUUGAAGAGAGUAGCAUAUGAAGUCUGUGG